rnacentral:rRNA from 1 species
UACGUAGGGGGCAAGCGUUAUCCGGAUUUACUGGGUGUAAAGGGAGCGCAGACGGUGGAGUAAGUCAGAAGUGAAAGCCCGCGGCUCAACUGCGGGACUGCUUUUGAAACUAUUCUGCUAGAGUGCUGGAGGGGCAGGCGGAAUUCCUGGUGUAGCGGUGAAAUGCGUAGAUAUCAGGAGGAACACCGGUGGCGAAGGCGGCCUGCUGGACAGUAACUGACGUUGAGGCUCGAAAGCGUGGGGAG